UACGUAGGGGGCGAGCGUUGUCCGGAUUUAUUGGGCGUAAAGAGCGUGUAGGCGGCUUGGUAGGUCUCGCGUCAAAACCUGAGGCUCAACCUCAGUUCGCGUGGGAAACCACCUAGCUAGAGUCCGGAAGAGGAGAACGGAAUUCCCAGUGUAGCGGUGAAAUGCGCAGAUAUUGGGAAGAACACCAGUGGCGAAGGCGGUUCUCUGGGACGGUACUGACGCUGAGACGCGAAAGCGUGGGGAGCAAACGGG
rnacentral:rRNA from 1 species